UACGUAUGGAGCAAGCGUUAUCCGGAUUUACUGGGUGUAAAGGGAGCGUAGGCGGUUUCAUAAGUCUGAUGUGAAAACCCACGGCUCAACCGUGGGAUUGCAUUGGAAACUGUGGAACUAGAGUGUCGGAGGGGCAAGUGGAAUUCCUAGUGUAGCGGUGAAAUGCAUAGAUAUUAGGAGGAACACCAGUGGCGAAGGCGGCUUGCUGGACGAUUACUGACGCUGAGACUCGAAAGCGUGGGGAG
rnacentral:rRNA from 1 species